rnacentral:misc_RNA from 1 species
CGUCAUUCAGAAACCGUAUAUCUUCCACCAGGAGGUUCUGGGAAGGCUGCCGACGAUCAAAGAAUACACGGAAUUCAUAACAGAAAAGGAACUCGAGAAAGAAAAAUCUUCUUCAACAAGAAUAAGAGCUUUGUAAGAAAAUGGAAGGCGAGGGGGAGAGUGAAAGGGGUAACUACAGCAAACCGUAUCACCAUCUGGGUUGUGGAGAACUUUUGAGUCUACUAAAGAGUGUGCGCAAAAGCUGGUGAGUCAAGUCGAGCACCAUCACGGCGUCCCCCCUCGGGUUCGCAGCCCACGGGCGUCGUCCUCGUCGCCCUCUCCUUCUCCAUCCAGGUCCCCUGCU